rnacentral:rRNA from 1 species
UACAGAGGUCCCAAGCGUUGUUCGGAUUCACUGGGCGUAAAGGGUGCGUAGGUGGUGAGGUAAGUCGGAUGUGAAAUCUCCGGGCUCGACCCGGAAAUGGCAUUGGAAACUACCUUGCUGGAGGAUUUGAGGGGGGAUUGGAAUACUUGGUGUAGCAGUGAAAUGCGUAGAUAUCAAGUGGAACACCAGUGGCGAAGGCGAAUCCCUGGAAAAUACCUGACACUGAGGCACGAAAGCUAGGGGAGCAAACAGG